AACGCACAUUGCGCCCCUUGGUAUUCCGAGGGGCAUGCCUGUUCGAGCGUCAUUACAAACCUCAAGCUUCUGCUUGGUAUUGAGCGGCCCGCCUUCGGAAACGGAGGCGCCCUCGAAACUCGUGGGCGGUGAUGUCCAGCGUCGUAGCGUAGUCAUAAACCAUUCCGCUUCCGACCGCUCCUGGACGGCUCACCCGCCGGGCGAACCGACGCCUCCUGGCGCCAUUCUUUCUAAGGUUUGACCUCGGAUCAGGUAGGAAUACCCGCUGAACUUAA
rnacentral:misc_RNA from 1 species